CUGAGAUGUGGGGAGCGCCUCUGCCCUGCCGCGACCCCGUCUGGGAGGGAGAUGACCCCGAAGUACAGCACAGCAAGCCAGACCCCAACAUCCUCCCAGCUUGUGCCAACAGGUUCUCUCCCUGUCCUCCUAUGGAGAGGUGCCUUGUUUGAAGAUGCUCUCAAUGAGGUGGAGGCAACCCUGGCAACUGGGAUGCAAGUGGUCUUCAUUCUAGACAGAACCUUGAACUGAGACUUGAGGAGAAAGGCCACCCCGGUGCUGAAUUCCCUGCAGGACUUCCAGCCUGAGCUGUUUGGUUUGCUCCCCUAUGAGUGAGAGGGAGGGCCGCCCCCAGCCCACUCUCAUGGUCCACACUGCUGGGGGAAAGGGAAAGGAAAUCAACAACUCCCAAAUCCCAGACUGCACAGUAAUUUUAGCUUCCUAAGGUUUGCCUUUCCAUCCUGUGUUGGCUUGCCCCACUCUAAAGUGUUGAUGAAAUGUGGCUUGACAGUUGAGAGAAACUUAGUAGAGACGAAAACAAAGCCCGGAACAAAAAUCGAACUUGAAUUACCAUCUCAAAAACCAAGCUGAUGGAGUAUGUGAUAAAGUGAAUGUAUAUGCAUAUAUAUAUAUACACAUAUAGAUACAUAUACAUAUAUAUAUCUCAGUAUGUUCAUAUGCAUAUAGGCAUUACAUGUAUAUGUAUGUAGAUAUAUGCAUAUCUGUAUAUGUGAGAUGUAUACUUUUCCAAGACAAAA
ensembl:lncRNA novel transcript